rnacentral:lncRNA from 1 species
UUACAAUACUCAAUUCAACCCCAGUUAGAGUGGGUUUGGCAUAAUUGUACAUAGUACGAGGAACAAAAGUAGGAUUUACAGGAUUUGUAGGAACUGCAAGAGGUAGCUAAAUAUCUUGGUUAUCACUUAUAUCCUCAGUAAUUAUAAUGUCCUCUUGUUCGCCUAUUAAAUUUUGUCGACUCUACUUUGCUUCUCUACGGUUUUUGCGAGCUGUACUUUCAAUUUCACUGUCAAAUAACAAUGGUCCCGAUGGGUUUCUUCUUGUCAUAAACUAAAAGAACCAGCCAGAAGUAAAUAAAAUAAAAAUUAGAACGUAAAAAUUAAACUAAAAACAAAAAUUAAAUUAAAUUAAUGGCUAAAUUAAUAAAAAUAAAGUGUUACUAAUAUUUUAGUCCCCGGUAACGGCGUCAAAAACUUGAUGGUCACUAAACUAACUAUAAAUAUGAAAAAGGCAAGCGCACCUAUCAAACAAUAGUUAGCUACGGUGAAUAAAGAUAUCGUAUCCACGAGGACUAAAAGUAUUAGUAAUUACUGUUUUUCUACUAUUUAGCCGACAAAUUAGAGUGAUGUGUUUUAAUCUAAAAUUACUAAACUAAUUUAUCUAAGAACGCAACAGAGAAUGAAUCAAGAAAAUAAUCAAAUAUUAACCAAUGAGAUAGACAAUACCCAGGAAAGAAUUCACCUAGACUUCACCUAUUAUUAUGAAUCUGAAUUAAACGAUUUAUUCACUUGUGUCUUGAUCCGUAAAAAUCCCCAAAUUAUGUUAACAUCUCUUUCGAGAGUAAGAACAACUGACUCUAGGUUGAUUAAUUGAAAUCUCUUUCUAAUUAAAAUCUCUAUCAUCGUAUUAACUCGAUCUAUGGACUCCCUUAUUAGAUUUGACUUUAAUCCGAUAGAUUUAUGUCGUCCUAUUUCUAGAAUUGCAUGCAACUCCAAUCAAUUAUGCUAGAUCUACUCUUAAACAGAGACUUUUGCUCCACUGAAUUAAGCAUAUUAAACAUGAAUUAAUAUCCUAAAAUAUUAAAACAAGAAUAAUAAAAGGAUUCAUCAUAGGUUUCAUCCUCCCUAGGUAUCUAGGGAAUUAGUUCAUACCCUUGAAUGAAAACAUCUCAAAGUCAGAAAAAGCACAAGACAUAAAGAAACUCAAUAAAACUUCGAAAGAAGUUAAAAGGAGAUUUUUAAUCUUGAUGGAGAUCCGGUUCCGAGUUGGUUUUGAUGGUGUUCUUUGAGUGCUUUUUUCGAUCUUCUCUGAUGGCUCUCUAUGUCUUCUUCUAAUUGGCAUUUAUAGACUUUAGAAUGCUCAGAAAGCCAAAAAUUGGGCUUCUCCACGUAUUUGGGAAGCAGGGUGCGAAAUCGACAAGGGCUAGCACAUGGGCAUGUGUCCAGCUUGUGUGGAAAUGCCCAGGCCGUGUGGCUCUUGAAAACGGCUUUAUUUUUCCAAUUUUGGCUCGGUUUUUGUUCCUUUCACUCCCAAAUGCUCUCCUAAGUAUAAAAAUAUGAAUUUAAAGGAUUAGAAGCAUCAAAUCCACUAAUUUGCAUAAUUAAUCAUCCAAAAACGCAUUAAGAAUGAAAUUAAAAUAUGUUACUUUUAUAUCUUAUCAAAAAUGUUAUCAAUUUGUAUCGAUACUUAUCAAAGUAUCGAUACCAAUUUGGCAUUCUGUUUAUUUUGAAAAAAAUUUAUUUGAGCAAGUAUCAUUACCUAAUGUCAUAGUAUCGAUACUUUUCGCUAAACUUAGUAAAAAUCACUUUUUAAAAACUUUUAUUCCAUGCUCAAACAUAAUGUCGAAUGACCAAUAGUCCGUUCAGUUUUAAAAACACAUUUUUAUGGAAAACAUUAGUUUGUUUUAGUAAUUCAUUUAUUCAAUCUCAAUUCCAAAUUUGUUAUAAAAAAUUAUAAGUAAUGGAGUCCAUACCACAUUCCAUUUAACAAAUCCAAAAUCCAAAUAGAGUUUAUGAAAUAGUUUAGAAAUAAGUUUUAAGUAAAAUCCGACGACAGUGCUCCGAGUGUCGAGUCCGAGCCCUAACCUCAUAAAUUAUCUGAAAAGAUGGGAAAAUUAAUGAGUGAGCUAUGAAGCUCAGUAUGGUCAUAACACAUAAGCAGUGAGUAUAUAAAGUAGUAAAUAACAUAAUACAAGGUUGCAAUAUGCAAUACAUAUUAGUAUCACGAUAUUCACAGAAAAACGAUAACUACUAGCAUGCUUAUAAAUAUUAGUGUAGUACACUACCCAAUCCAGCCCUACACACCACAGUAAGAGUUCCUCAGAACUCGUCCAACCCUACAAUCCAAAACAGUAUUUUGAGGAUGAGUUGCUAGUAAAUCAGUAGGAGCCUUAGCUUAUGUGGAUGAACCACCAAUAGAUGAUCGAUGAACCGAUUCGACAUGUAAUGCUUGAACUUCCUCCUUCAACAACCCAAACCCCAAUGCAUUAGUAUGACAUGCUAUCGAUGUCAGAAAGCAGUAACAGUUUUAACAUGCUAUUAUCAUGCAAACAGUAACAGUUUGUUGGUUAAGUAGUAACAGUAAUCAUGCAUCAGUUAUAUAUGCGGGAUUAACACUGAAUCAACAUUAUACACAUAUUCAACAUUAACGAUUCAAAAAAAUGGAAGCAUACUACAACUAGAUCUACCAUACACAGUCUCGUUUACCACUGAGUCGAUUCGUUGGUUUCUCAAUACCACAUCAAAGAAUAUUUUUCAACCAGAUCUAAAGUUACCUAUUACAAUCGAAACCAUUAGAAUGAAAUAACUAACAUUAACUAAUAAAAUCAGCAAGAAAAACACAAAAAUAGGCACUCAUACAUAACACACACAAAAGCACAUGGUUAGACACACACCUUCACCCACACGCUUGUGCGACACUUCACUCCUCCGGUGGACUCAUACGAUUCAGAUAUGCUCUGAACCCGUCAUCAUUCGGUCCUUCAAAUGGUAUACACACAAAUAACAACACAUUAGCAAUCGACAUAAAUUAGAUUCAGGAAUCGAAGAAACCUGAUUAAUCAAUAUGGAAGUGAAAUAAAUCAUACACACGAUUUAUUUAUUCGAAAACCAAAUCUUACCCAUGGAUCGGAAUGUUUACACUUACUAAUCUACCGUUAGGGUCAUAAUCGUGCAAAAUAGAAUAGAGAGGCAAAUAUACAAAGCUAUUAGUGCAAAUGAACCGAACGAUUGAUAAUGAUUCGGGGGAAAAAAAGAAUCGGCAACCCAAGAGGGGUGCAAGAAACGGAAACUAAGAAGAAAAGCAAGGAAGAAUAAGAACAAGAGAAAAGAGAAAAGAAGGGUGAAGUGAGGAGAAAAUGGCCAAGGGAAAAAGUGAAGAGAGGAAAACAAGUUUAAGGGUGGCAGCAAAAACAAAAGAAUGAGAAGAGGGGGCCGACCAAAUAAAAUUACACUUAAAUACCUAGGGUUUUGGCACACUAGGGUUUUCUACACUACAAAAUGCGAAGGUAUCUAUACU